AUCCACACCAGUUUUAUUAUAUAUAAUAAAAAACCUCGAUCGUCCGCGUUAUGAAUUACAGAUUGGCCAAUGCAUAGAGCAAUCGAGCAUCGAGUCGUGGCAGCACCGCGGGUAACGCAUACCUGGCCAGGGGAAGGGGAGGAAAGGGAGGGGAGGGGGACUGGAGCUUGGUAUCCGUCAGUCUCGCGUAGGAUGAGUGGGACGAGGACGACGUAAAAGUACGACGACGAUCCAUCAGAUUGUUACGAGCAGUGAAAUUUGCAACACAAACAGGUUGGCAAACUGCGAGCGGAUGCUGGCUCGAGAGCAAAUAAAGGAGCCUCCAUUUAUUAAGCCGGCAAUAAAAUAGCGCUCCUCUCCUCUUCGUUUCGCCGUCUUCCCUCUCGAUCCGUUCCGAGGCCCGUGGGUGGAACGUCGAGGUGGACCAAGGGGAGGGAAGGAGAGAGAGAGAGAGAGCGAGCGAGGGAGAGAGGGGGGCCCCACACGUCGGGGGACACGGCUGAUUUAUGCGAAAAUCGGGGAGGGGAGGGGGACUCGGGGCCAGGAUUCGAGAGCGCAACACCGCUGCACGAGGUAAUGCCCUGCUACACACGUUGAAUCGGGUUAAUCCACCCCGAACCCUGUCCACCAAGGGGGAAGGAAGGAAGGAGGAGGAAGGUGGAAGUCGGUAACGUUGGAUCAGGUCGAGUUGUGUGGAACAAUCGGUGGGAAAUUUUGCGGAAAAAUUCCAAUUCCGCGUGGAAAAUUCAAUCUCCUCGUGUGGGAAUAUUUAUUUCAAAUAAGCACGAACUAAGAAUGAAUAUGAAUUGUAAUAUUCAAACUUGAUUCAUGAAUGUAUUAAUAAAUAAUGUAAUUCCAUUCAUUUUGCACUUUGCUGAAUGUGGAAACAUUUGUUGUAACUUUAGAUUGGAUAAAUGUAAAUUAGAACAGAAGUAUCCAAGCUUGAUUAAUAAUUAAUGUAGAAACAUUUAUUAUAUCAUU